rnacentral:rRNA from 1 species
GACGAACGCUGGCGGCGUGCUUAACACAUGCAAGUCGAACGGAAAGGCCCUGCCUUUGUGGGGUGCUCGAGUGGCGAACGGGUGAGUAACACGUGAGUAACCUGCCCUUGACUUUGGGAUAACUUCAGGAAACUGGGGCUAAUACCGGAUAGGAGCUCCUGCUGCAUGGUGGGGGUUGGAAAGUUUCGGCGGUUGGGGAUGGACUCGCGGCUUAUCAGCUUGUUGGUGGGGUAGUGGCUUACCAAGGCUUUGACGGGUAGCCGGCCUGAGAGGGUGACCGGCCACAUUGGGACUGAGAUACGGCCCAGACUCUUACGGGAGGCAGCAGUGGGGAAUAUUGCACAAUGGGCGGAAGCCUGAUGCAGCAACGCCGCGUGCGGGAUGACGGCCUUCGGGUUGUAAACCGCUUUCGCCUGUGACGAAGCGUGAGUGACGGUAAUGGGUAAAGAAGCACCGGCUAACUACGUG